rnacentral:rRNA from 1 species
UACAGAGGUCGCGAGCGUUGUUCGGAUUCAUUGGGCGUAAAGGGUGCGUAGGCGGCGGGGUAAGUCUGAUGUGAAAUCCCGGGGCUCAACUCUGGAAUUGCAUUGAAUACUACCUUGCUAGAGUACCGGAGAGGAAACUGGAAUUUACGGUGUAGCAGUGAAAUGCGUAGAGAUCGUGAGGAACACCAGUGGCGAAGGCGAGUUUCUGGACGGUAACUGACGCUGAGGCACGAAAGCCAGGGGAGCAAACAGG